UACGAAGGGGGCUAGCGUUGCUCGGAAUCACUGGGCGUAAAGGGCGCGUAGGCGGCCUUGUAAGUUGGGGGUGAAAGCCCGUGGCUCAACCACGGAAUUGCCUUCGAUACUGCUUGGCUUGAGACCGGAAGAGGUGAGUGGAACUGCGAGUGUAGAGGUGAAAUCGUAGAUAUUCGCAAGAACACCAGUGGCGAAGGCGGCCAACUGGCCGAUACUGACG
rnacentral:rRNA from 1 species